rnacentral:lncRNA from 1 species
UCCCAAGUAGCUGGGAUCACAGGCGCCCACUACCAUACCUGGCUAAUUUUUACAUUUUUAGUAGAGACGGGGUUUCACCAUGUUGGCCAGGCUGGUCUUGAACUCCUGACAAGUGGUCCACCCACCUCGCCCUCCCACAGUGCUGAGAUUACAGACAUGAGCCACGAUGCCCAGCAGGUUCUGAUCUUGACUGGACCCCUUUUUAGCUGAGUGACUUUGAGCAAACUUUUCAUCUUUCUGAUAAUUUUGUGUGCAUGGAAAAGAUGACUUAGCAUUGGUCACAUGCCCUAUUCCAAGGAUGGUGUUUGAGCUCCAAAGAGCAGGCCACCUGCCAGAGGACCCGUAUUUUUUGGGGACAGGGAUGAGAAUGGGCAAGAAGAGAGCAGAUGUAGGCUGGGAGCCUUGAGAACGGGAGAGGAAAGAGGUUUCAAGACAUUUUUCUCUAGAUUGUGAACAUAAUUGCACUUUGGUUCCCCCUAGAACAAAUUUAAGAAGGACCUAAAUUGCUUUUCAAGGCUAUUUUAGGAAGUGAACUUGGAUCUGACUUUGUUUUUUUUCUUCCUGGGCCUGUGCGGAGGUGGACCAUGGGUGCCCAUCUUUAUUUGGGUUACAAAAAUGUGAAGGGGGUGCAGAGGAACAGCGGGAAGAGAGCAGCCCUCCAAAGCAUCCCUCUCUGCCCCACCCCAGCCACAAUCCUUGGGCCUGGGGACAGUGCUCAUGCCCCCACGUGAAUCGCUUCCCCACAGACACUCUGACAGGAGGCCGGGGAAGUUUGCUUCCUGUUUUCUGGGGGCAGGGCGGGAGGCAGACAGGGGUGACUGGAGGUGCAUGUCCAUGACAGGUGGCAGCUGCUUUCCAUCCCCAGUGCAUCCUGCCAUGAGAGCACCUACAUCCCAGCCCUGCCCCUGCCACCUAAGAUCUCUUCUUACAAGAAGCAGUGCCACCUUUAAAAUGUUUCAACUGGCCCUAAUCUUCUCUUCUUAUAAGGGCACAGUCACAUUGGGUUAGGGCCCACCCAGUGACCUCAUUUAACCUUAGUCACCUCUGUAAAGACCCUGGGUCCAAACCCAGUCACAUUCUGAGGUACUGCUGGUUAGGACUUCAAGAUGUGAAGUCACAUUCUGAGGCAAGGACACAACUCAGCCAGGACAAGAGCCACUUCCCCAACCAUAAAAGUGUCACCCAGGGCAGUGGGCUUUUCUACCUGACCCAACACAGCCAAUUUAAGCUGGAAUGGAAUUAAAGUGUUGUAAUUCACGUGAAAAGUCAUGGAAAACGGCACUGCAGUAAGGCAUUGGCUACGGAAACAUCACAAGAUUGAAUAAAGACCUGCUUUGCAUCAACGCAC